CGGACACGUAAAAAGCCAAAAGUCAAUACAAAUGCCGAAACUGCCGCAAAAAUACUUUACUUCUGUGUGUUUAAGUGUAGUAAAGCUGAACACUUGGGAUAUGAAUUGUUUUGCAGUAGUUUUUCGAUGCAAACGACGAGAAGUUGCGGGUGUGACGGCCAAAAACAACGACCACCAACGUCUACUUCUAUCAUCAAGGAUGGGAACAAGGAGGUAAUUUAUAUUCAAAAGACGGAAUAAAAAAGGACAAGCAAACACAUACGCGAAAGCUUCGAUAAUACCUUUCCAAGACCCCACUAGGACGUCCUGGCCACCUGGGAUUAAAGAAAUAUUGCAACUUCUGCGAUUAGAAAAUUGCAGCAGGCCACAACAGAUGCAAAGGUUUGAAUAUGAAGGAGGUCUAAGGCUGCUGGUGUGUGAGGAGUUAUGCAAUUAAAGCAGAGGAAGCUGUCUGUGGUCUCCUCCUGGCUGGCCGACUCGUCGUAAGCUCCAGACAUGGUCCCGGAUUUGGCAGGAAGGCUUCAGGCUAUGU